GGUUGAUACACAGCCGACAGCUCUAUUGGACAACUGUUAGAAUUCAUAUUAUGGCAAGAACCAAUCAGCUAAGUAAAGAGAAACGAGUGGCCAUCAUUACUUUAACAAAUGAAGAUCAGUCAGGGCCAAGAAACACAAGGAAUGGACAUUAGACCAGUGGAAAUCUGUGCUUUGGUCUGAUGAGUCCAAAUUUGAGAUCUUUGGUUCCAACCGCCGUGUCUUUGUGCGACGCAGAAAAGGUGAACGGAUGGAUUUUACAUGCCUGGUUCCCACCGUGAAGCAUGGAGGAGGAGGUGUGAUGGUGUGGGGGUGCUUUGCUGGUGACACUGUUGGGGAUUUAUUCAAAAUUGAAGGCAUACUGAACCAGCAUGGCUACCACAGUAUCUUGCAGCGACAUGCCAUGCCAUGCCAUCCGGUUUGCGUUUAGUUGGACCAUCAUUUAUUUUUCAACAGGACCAUAUCCCCAAACACAACUCCAAGCUGUGUAAGGGCUAUUUGACCAAGAAGGAGAGUGAUGGAGUGCUGCGCCAGAUGACCUGGCCUCCACAGUCACCGGACCUGAACCCAAUCGAGAUGGUUUGGGGUGAGCUGGACCGCAGAGUGAAGGCAAAAGGGCAAACAAGUGCUAAGCAUCUCUGGGAACUCCUUCAAGACUGUUGGAAAACCAUUUCAGGUGACUACCUCUUGAAGCUCAUCAAGAGAAUGCCAAGAGUGUGCAAAGCAGUAAUCAGAGCAAAGGGUGGCUACUUUGAAGAAACUAGAAUAUAAGACAUGUUUUCAGUUAUUUCACACUUUUUUGUUAAGUACAUAAAUCCACGUGUUCAUUCAUAGUUUUGAUGCCUUCAGUGAGAAUCUACAAUGUAAAUAGAAAAACAACAAACAAUAGAAAAUAAAGGAAACGCAUUGAAUGAGAAGGUUGUGUCCAAACUUUUGGCCUGUACUGUACAUAGACAUACAGAGUAA